CUGCAACUUCACACUGCUCUGAGUAAGGGAGGUCACUGCACCACUGCGCGGGGAGCAAAGAAGGAACCAGGACCUCCUGCCUGCUCCUGCCUGGUCCCCCCCUCCUGCUUUCACUCUGCCCGAGGCACCACGUGGGGCCAGCCAGCAGGUCCCAGGGACGAGCUUGCCCUGCUCCACAUCAGCGAGACCCAGCAGCAGUCACAGACAGCAGGCCAGCACUGAAGGCAGCACAGACAGGUGCCUGGGCAGUAUUCCUUAGGGGGAUGAGGCCUCGCCAGCCGAAUGUCAGUCUCAUGAUUAAAAGAAGCAAUUUUCAGCCAGCACACAGGCGCGCCUUCCACCUGAGAAAGACCCAAGGACAGAAGGAAAGAAACAGAAGUAUCAGAAACAUCACUUCUGGAACCAGGAACAGACGCUGUCUAGAAGCUCUGAUACCUGUCCCACUGCUUGUGAUUCUGCAGCACUCCCCCAGGAACUCAAACACAGAGUAAUGACUGGCGGUCUCUAGAGAAAAGCUUCACUCGAACAAAAUGCAUUGGCUUAAGAGGAAUAAAGGAUGAAGCUCUACAGCCUGUGCUGCCACACAGGAGCUCAGAUAAGAUGAUACGAUGACAUACAGCGGUCAUAAAAUCUGAGGUCUUAUCAGUCCAACUCGGUUAGGUCUCCGAAUAAGCCUAGCACCACUGGUAAGUCCAACUUGCACAGCUUUCCUUGUUCAGGCACAGGGAAAACAAGGUGGUAUGUAUAAAGCCUCACUCAUGCCAAUAAAAAUGUACUACAGGAAUGAAUGUAUUUAUUAACU